rnacentral:rRNA from 1 species
AAGCACAUUUCUUGUGUGACCGCGUACUUUUUGUAGAACGGGCCAACGAGUUACGUUAAGUAGCAAGGUUAAGCACUUAAGGUGUGGAGCCGUAGCGAAAGCGAGUUUUAACUGAGCGUUCAGUUACGUGACGUAGACCCGAAACCGGGCGACCUACCCAUGAGCAGGAUGAAGCGAAAGUAAAAUUUCGUGGAGGUCCGAACCCACG